rnacentral:rRNA from 1 species
GUAGUUAGCCGGGGCUUCCUCCUUGGCUACCGUCAUUUUUUCGUCACCAAGGACAGAGGUUUACAACCCGAAAGCCUUCAAUCCCUCACGCGGCGUUGCUGGGUCAGGCUUGCGCCCAUUGCCCAAUAUUCCCCACUGCUGCCUCCCGUAGGAGUCUGGACCGUUUCUCAGUUCCAGUGUGGCCGAUCAGCCUCUCAGCUCGGCUACCCAUCGUAGACUUGGUGGGCCGUUGCCCCGCCAACUAUCUAAUGGGACGCGAGCCCCUCUCCCUGCGGAUUUCUCCUUUGACCCCUCUGCCAUGCGACAGUGUGGUCUUAUGCGGUAUUAGCACCAGUUUCCCGGUGUUAUCCCCCUCAGAAAGUCAGGUUGCUCACGCGUUACUCACCCGUCGCCACUAAGCUAAAUCCGAAAACUUGCUCCGUUCGACUUGCAUGUGUUAGGCACGCCGCCACGCGUUCGUCCUCGAGCCACUAAUACAACUACUCGA